rnacentral:ncRNA from 1 species
CUGAUUGAUUCUGUCAGUAGUCAUAUACUUGUCUCAAAGAUUAAGUCAUGUAUGUUUAAGUAUAAGCAAUCUAUACAGUGAAACUGUGAAUGGCUCAUUAAAUCAGUUAUCAUUUAUUUAAUAGUAUCUUACUACUUGAAUAUCUGUGGUAAUUCUAGAGCUAAUACAUGCUAAAAACCUUGACUUCAGAAGAAGUGUAUUUAUUAGAUAAAAAAUCAAUACUCUUCAGAGCUUCUUGAUAAUUCAUAAUAACUUAUUGAAUUGCAUGAUCUUGUACUGAUUAUGAUUCAUUCAAAUUUCUGCUCUAUCAACUUUCAAUGAUAGAAUAGUGACCUAUUAUAGUAAUAAUGAAUAACAGGAAAUUAGAGUUCAAUUUCAAAGAGAGAGUCUGAGAAACAGUUAUUACAUUCAAGAAAGGCAGCAGGCACGCAAAUUAUUCAAUUUUAAUAUAAGAAGAUAGUAAAUAAUAAAUACUGAUACAGAGCUCUUUCAGAUCUUGUAAUUAAAAUGAGUACAAUUUAAAUCUCUUAACAAGGAACAAUUCAAGAGUAAGUCUGAUGUCAGCAGCUGUGAUAAUUUCAGCUUCAAUAGUGUAUAUU